GACGAACGCUGGCGGCGUGCCUAAUACAUGCAAGUUGAGCGCUGAAGGUUGGUACUUGUACCGACUGGAUGAGCAGCGAACGGGUGAGUAACGCGUGGGGAAUCUGCCUUUGAGCGGGGGACAACAUUUGGAAACGAAUGCUAAUGCCGCAUAAAAACUUUAAACACAAGUUUUAAGUUUGAAAGAUGCAAUUGCAUCACUCAAAGAUGAUCCCGCGUUGUAUUAGCUAGUUGGUGAGGUAAAGGCUCACCAAGGCGAUGAUACAUAGCCGACCUGAGAGGGUGAUAGGCCACAUUGGGACUGGGACACGGCCAAAACUCCUGCGGGAGGCAGCAGUAGGGAAUGUUCGGCAAUGGACGAAAGUCUGACCGAGCAACGCCGCGUGAGUGAAGAAGGUUUUGGGAUCGUAAAACUGUGUUGGUAGAGAAGAACGUUGGUGAGAGUGGAAAGCUCAUCAAGUGACGGUAACUACCCAGAAAGGGACGGCUAACUACGU
rnacentral:rRNA from 1 species